rnacentral:snRNA from 1 species
CGGUUCAACUGCAAUGCAGUUCU